UAACAAAACCAAUUUAGGUACUUAAAAAACGAAAUGGAAAAGAAAAAGAAAUGGCCUUUCGGCCUUCGUCCCCGGUUGCAACACGAACGAACCCUCGAAGGGCUUUCGUGACCUUGACGAACGGAGGGGACCUCCGUCGACGGCGCACGACCCAACCCCCAAGUACGUUUUAACCCCUUUUCCUCUUUAUACUUAUAAUAAUAUUCGA
rnacentral:lncRNA from 1 species